rnacentral:rRNA from 1 species
UACGUAGGGGGCAAGCGUUGUCCGGAUUUAUUGGGCGUAAAGGGCGCGUAGGUGGUUCUGUAUGUCUACCGUGAAAGCGUACGACUCAACUGUAUUUUGUCGGUGGAAACUGCAGGACUUGAGGCUGGGAGGGGCUGGUGGAAUUCCCUGUGUAGCGGUGAAAUGCGUAGAGAUGGGGGAGAACACUCGUGGCGAAGGCGGCCAGCUAGACCAGUUCUGACACUGAGGCGCGACAGCGUGGGGAGCAAACAGG